CCAACAAUAAGUGUUUGAUUAACAAAUAUCCUCUCAUUUUUCACAAGUAAUGGCCAAACCAUCGUGUUCGUAUUUGCUCAUCUCCAUGUUAGUCCUCUCAGCUUUGUUGGCUUUGCCAAAUGUAGAGGGAUUCGAUAUCAAAAAAUGUAUUGAGGAGGUGGAACUUAGCAAGCCAUGCACUUAUCAAGAAUGCCAACACUUUUGUUUUAUGAAGUACAGAGGGGAGGGUGUUUGUCUCGGAGAUAAAUCCAAUAUGUGCGGUUGUACUUUCAUAUGCUGAGAUAUUUCUUAUAUCAUAAUGCUGUUAAACCGGACUUAUAUAUUCUAAAUGUUAUUGUACCCUGAGUUACUUGGAGAAUGAAUAAAACUCUCUCUCUCUCU